CUCCUACGGGAGGCAGCAGUCGGGAAUUUUGCUCAAUGGGGGAAACCCUGAAGCAGCAACGCCGCGUGAGGGAUGAAGGCCUUCGGGUUGUAAACCUCUUUUCUCAGGGACGAUGAUGACGGUACCUGAGGAAUAAGCCACGGCUAACUACGUGCCAGCAGCCGCGGUAAUACGUAGGUGGCAAGCGUUGUCCGGAUUUACUGGGCGUAAAGAGCGCGCAGGCGGUCGAGUAAGUCGAAUGUGAAAGCCCCCGGCUCAACUGGGGAUCGUCAUUCGAUACUGUUCGACUUGAAGAUGGGAGAGGGAAGCGGAAUUUCAGGUGUAGUGGUGAAAUGCGUAGAUAUCUGAAGGAACACCAGUGGCGAAGGCGGCUUUCUGGCCCACUCUUGACGCUGAGGCGCGAAAGCUAGGGGAGCGAACGGGAUUAGAUACCCCGGUAGUCCUAGCUGUAAACGAUGAGAACUAGAUGUCGGGAAGAAUUGCUUUUCGGUGUCGCAGCUAACGCGUUAAGUUCUCCGCCUGGGGAGUACGCCGGCAACGGUAAAACUCAAAGGAAUUGACGG
rnacentral:rRNA from 1 species